AUAUUGAUCCAGCUCCUAGUCCCAGUCCUCAUGGUGGCCAGGGUUGAAUAUGCAGUGGGGAGGAAGGAACCGUGUAAGAGGGCGUUUGGCUUAGCUAUGUUCUUAUAAGUUAAUUUGAACUUAAAAGCAUUUAAAAUUCUAGACAGUACCUGUUUAGUUAAAAUAUGUGUAAGUGGCCGAUAAACAAUUAUGUAUCAAUAAAAAAUAUACAGCUUAUAAUUGCUAAUAAGUACAAUGCUGGGAGGAAGGAACCGUGUAAGAGGGCGUUUGGCUUAGCUAUGUUCUUAUAAGUUAAUUUGAACUUAAAAGCAUUUAAAAUUCUAGACAGUACCUGUUUAGUUAAAAUAUGUGUAAGUGGCCGAUAAACAAUUAUGUAUCAAUAAAAAAUAUACAGCUUAUAAUUGCUAAUAAGUA
rnacentral:misc_RNA from 1 species